rnacentral:rRNA from 1 species
UACGUAGGGUGCGAGCGUUGUCCGGAAUUAUUGGGCGUAAAGAGCUCGUAGGCGGUCUGUCGCGUCGAAUGUGAAAACCCGGGGCUCAACUCCGGGCUUGCAUUCGAUACGGGCAGGCUAGAGUUCGGUAGGGGAGUCUGGAAUUCCUGGUGUAGCGGUGGAAUGCGCAGAUAUCAGGAGGAACACCGGUGGCGAAGGCGGGUCUCUGGGCUGUAACUGACGCUGAGGAGCGAAAGCGUGGGUAGCGAACAGG